AGAUUGAGGUGGUGUAUUUGGUUUUGUCAGUAAUAAAGCAUGUUACUUUACAAAAAAUUGUUGCUCAUGUCUUUCAGUACAACCUAUGUAUAAGGUGUAUUAUUACUCUGCAGUUUUAGACAUGCAACAGGUGUGAUCUUGAAGAAUUCUACCUUCUGGAAUAUAACAUCAUGUAGUCCAAUGUAAGCCAGCAUUCUGGAGAUAUGUGUUGCUUUGCUUGCUGUCUGCUUCAUGCUGUGUCCUACGUGGUUUACUCUUCUCCCCUAUAGAGGGAUAUUCCUCUGAAAUGCUGGUUGGCUUUCAAAGGACUACACAGCGUAACCACAAAGGGUUUGCUUGCUACCUGCUUCACACCGGUUUCUUGCUUGGCUUAUUCCUCAACCCUGAAGAUGGAGGUGGAGUGUCCCUCCAAAUGUGGGUUGACUUUCACUGAACACCAAAGCAUUAUAUCUCAGAAGAAAAACCCUUCAUAACCAUUGCUAUGAGAACCUAAACUCCUACCGUUAUGGUCAUUUUGGUUAUGAGCUGAAAAAUGUUCUAAAGAUGUUUACAAAAACUUACUCUGCAAUAAAGUGGUUUGGAAUGCCAGUGCUACAUAUCUUCACAUGGGUUGUACUGCUGACUGAUAGCUGUCUGUGUUUGUGUGUGCUAACUUCCCAGCAGCUGUGUACUACAUAGGGCUAUUCAAUGUAGAAGUAUGACUAUCUAGCAAUUCCAUGGACCAGUCCUUGAAGACCUUCAUUCAGUUUAUCAAUAGUUUCCUGCCUUUUACGAACCAGGCCAUGCAUCACUGUGCCCACACGAGCCUGUUCUUGGACCCUAUCCUGAGCCACAUAAUUUUGUCCAUAUACUCAUGACAUAUUUAUUCACCUAAUUUAUAUCUCUCCAAAAUUCAUGCACUCCUGCUUCUAACCAUUUGGUUGGGAUGGGGGGAUUAAAUGCCAUAUUUUUACCCCUGAGAAAAUUUUGACUGACAUAUUGUCAUGGGCAUGGAGUGUGAUUAUGGGUGUGUUUGGGAAUGAUGACUGGAUUUAACGCACACUUUGACAGAGCACAUUGCUACACUUUACAGUUCACUAUUAAACACGCACACACACAGACACACUAGUGUCCACAGUCAUGUCUUCACUGCAGCUGCUUGGUAGCAGCUUCCAAUGGUAGACGUUCCCAUUCCUCUGGGUUCCGAAACUGUUCCUGGACUCAGCUAUCAGUUUUUAACAGCAAUAGCUCACAUUGACUGAACUGCCGCAGUUCUCUAUCUAACUGCAAUAGCUGUUACAACAUAUCAGGAUGAACCAUGUAGAAACACUGCUUCCCACAGUUAUGCCAUUGUUGUGUUUGUGUCUGUUUGGGUGGCCAUGUGAUUGCUAUUGAACCAAUGUCUAGCAACAGCCAUUGUUUGCAGAUCUAUUCCCUAACAACGGCUGUCUUUGCUGGCUUCAUAAUUUUCUCUUGAGCAAAUAUGCCACGCUUCUCCCUCCUUAAGGCUGCUUGUCCCCAAGUAGCAUACAGGCAAAUUGCCAUCUCAUCUUUUCCAGGGGCUGUGCUUGUGAUGUCUGUGAUCAGCCUUGCCUUCCUUCCCUGUGGCUCAGUUCACAUGAUGAUUACUCCCCAACUGCUUCUGCUGCUCCCUCCUUGAGGCAGCUCAUUCCCAGUAGCCUACUUGCAUACCACCAUUUCUUCUUUUCCAAAGGCUAUGCUCUUGACUUCUCUUCUUUCUUUUUGAAGGGGGCCAACCCCUCCACAAUGUCCAGUCACUCACUUUCCACAACCUGAUGGAAAUCUUGACUGCUCACUCCACAACUUCCAACUCGAGAGUUUGUCCCAGGGCCUCUUACAAUGUGUUCAUGCUUCCCAGAUGUAGCUCCCAUCUCUUGCUUCAUUCUCUGAUGCUGCUGCUGGUUGUCUUGCCAGGUCCCCUAAAAAUACAUCCCUUGUGCAGUGCACGAAUGGCACUGCAGUUAAACCGUCCUCAGGCAGCGGCCAACUUCUGUCAAGACCCACCAUUGUCCUGGGUCUGAUUCUUUGGCUGUCUGCAGUGCCUUUUGGCGAGACACUGGUCCCGAUACCAAUCUCGAGUGCCGCAGUAGUCUUCACUUUCAACUUUUCUAGACAUGAUUCCAUCUUCACUUCUACUUUUCCCUGAUUCGCCUCAAUCUAUUCUAGACAGUCCUCUGUUGUCUAUAGUCUGAUAUUCAUCAGGUUUCCAUCCUUUCUUGACUGGCUUUCAUUGUGGCCAUCCAUUCCACAAGGUUACUUUCUAUCUUAGCAUGGUGGGCAUCCGCCUAAGAGACCAAAUACCUUGAAUGACCUCAAACUUCUCGUUACUUGCCUCUGUCUUGGCUUCCAGCCUUUCUUGAUUGGUUCUUAUUUCAGCCUUUGUUUCCCUCAAAUUGGUGUCUGCCUUAGCUUUGAUCUUGGCUUCCAUUCUGGCCAGCAUUUCUUGGUUGGUUCUUAUUUUGGUCAGCAGGAGUGCCAUCAUUUGUUCCAUUUCUGUGAUAUGAUGCUGUAAGUACACCGUGCAAUCUUCAAUCCCAUAAUUCAAUUCAAUCAGCCCAAUCUCACUCCUGACACCAGAUGUCACAUGUAUACAGUGUGACUAUAGACAGGAUUUGUUGCCCAUUUUGAUACAGUGCAUGACUACACUUUACAGUUCAUUAUUACACACACUAGUGUCUGUAGUUAUGCCUUCACUGCUGUUUCUUGGCAGCAGCUUCCAGUGGCCAAUGUUCGCCUUCCUCUGGAUUCCUGAACUAUCCCCAGCCCUCAGCUACCAGUUUCUAAGAGGAAUCGCUCAUGACUGAACUACAACAGUUCUCUAACUGGUUCUGCUUGUAACAUUUCAUUACACGCCGCACAGAAAACGUCACUUCCCACAGAUAUUCCACUGUUUUGUUCGUGUCUGUUGGGGUGACCAUGCGAUCGCUACUGAACCAAUGCAUGGCAAAUGCUGUUGUUUGCAGAGCUGCGCUCCCUAGCAACAGAAAUCAUAUGGAAAAGUUCCGCCUGCAGAUAACGCUAUCUGACACUGCUUCGAGCAAUUUCAAGAGACUGGUAGCGUUCUGCAUCGAAAAGGAGCAAGAUCUUGAUCGAAUCCAGGAAGUGUUUUCUCAUAGUCCACAAAAAUCAACUAGACAAGCUUCCUUGCAAUCAGGUGUACACAGAUGACUGUUUGGAGAGUUGUUCAUAACUACUUUCACCUCCAUGCCUAAAAAGUGCAGAUUAUGCAGGCUAAGCCAGAUGAUAAACCCCAACAAUAAUUUAGAAUCACCCUGUAUUUAUACCGCACAGUAUGUUCAUAUUUUGAUAUUUCUUCUGCCACUGUCCUGAGUGACCUCGUCUUAUAUAUACUUCUCACAUUCCAUGUACCAGAUCUCAUGUCCAUUUUCUUUUGGUUCGGUCAUCUCUCCAAGGAGUCCAUGUCCGCAGCUUCUUCCAAAUUUUUAUAACAAGCUGUAAAUGUGUAGGCCUGAAAACCAUAAUAGAAGUAUCUUAGAAAGUUUCUUCAGUUUCUUUUUCGUUACUACCUUUCCAGUUAAAAGGGUUGUAAUUGGGACUGGCCAAAAUAGUAGACAGUUUUUUUUCAGUACUAUUCUACUGAUAUUUAUUUACAAACAAUCUAUAAAUAUACAAAUAACAAUUUAUAAACUUCUGACUUUAGAACAUAUAAAUAUUUGUUUAUGAAACUGACUUUAUUAUCAUACAAAUAUCUGUUUAUAAUUAUGAAAUAUCAUAGGGUAGUCCUAUUUAUAUAAAAAAUAAAUUUAGAUUAUAAUUUAACAAAUUUCUCUAUUAUGAAUUCCGAAACUGUAAAUUUUUCACAUGAGAAUUUUGUCACAUUUCAUUAUCCAGAAACAGAAGGUCAUCUAAAGUUGGCACGCUAAUCCAAAAAUUACUUAUGCUUUGGUCCAAAUAAUUCAAAAUCUCUUCAGGUUUCCAAGUAUAUUCAAAAUCACUGUCAAAUUGUAGGUUUGGCUCCUCAAGUAUACAUUAGAAAAUGAAGGAAGCCUCGUCAAUUA